GUGGGUUGGCUCAGUGGUUAGUUUAGGUCUUGUAACCGGAAGGUCGCGGGAUCGAGUCCCGCUAGAGACA
rnacentral:tRNA from 1 species